AUACGAAGGGGGCUAGCGUUGUCCGGAAUUACUGGGCGUAAAGGGUGCGUAGGCGGCAUGUUAAGUUGGAUGUGAAAUACCCGGGCUCAACCUCGGAACUGCCUUUGAUACUGGGUGUCUAGAGUGUGGAAGAGGUAAGUGGAAUUCCGAGUGUAGAGGUGAAAUUCGUAGAUAUUCGGAGGAACACCAGUGGCGAAGGCGGCUUACUGGUCCAUUACUGACGCUGAGGUGCGAAAGCGUGGGGAGC
rnacentral:rRNA from 1 species